AAUAGCUUUCAUGUAUUAAUUAUGUUAUAAAUCUUCUACUCCCUCUGUUCCAAAAUAUAAGUCAUUAAACGAAAUCCUAGUCAAAUUUUUUUAGGCUACGAAAUUCCUGGAGUUUCCAAAUUUGCCCUCGCUCGCGACAAGAACAGAUCACCUCUGACGGGUCGCGGACAGCUCACCCUCUUCCUCGCUCGCCUUCUUCCUCUCGUAUCCACCGCCGUCGGCGUCUUCCUCACUGCGCCCCACCACGUCGCUGCUGCCGCCGCCUUGCUCCCGCACGCCUUGUAUCCCUCCUCUAUUCCACUGCCGCGCUACCACCUCAGUAGGUUCCGUGGAGAAGAUGGUGAGGCCAAGGUCAGAUUUUUCUGGCCAUGGGCGGCGGAUCUGCAAGCGGCAGAGCUGGAUCCUUCGCUUCUUCGCCCCCCACCCUUAUGGAUUUACAACAUCCAUCCUUUACUCUGUCCGUGUCAUUGUUGUUUACCCCUGGGAGUGUUUUUAACUUGAAAAUCUCUGGUGAACUACCAUUUGGAGUACAUUUGCUUGCUCUAUUAAUUUUCUUGGAUUACUCCAUCUUGCUCUGUUAAGUACUCCAUCUUGCUCUGUACAGUACAUAGUCAAAGCUACUCCAACAGUACAUAGUCAAAAUUACUCCAACAAGAUUGCUUGGAGUAUUUAACAAGAUUUAACUUGUCAACAUUAACAGUAUUUUUCAGUAAGUAUUCUGUACAUGCAGGUGUUCUGAACAUGCUUCUGAAUAUUUCCAGAUUCUGAACAUGCAAGAAAAUCUGCAGGAGUAAACAAGUUCUUUCAGUAGAUAUUGCAAGUGUUUGUUCUGAACAUGUACUCUUACUGAAGAUAUUGCAAGUGUUUGUUCUGAACAUGUACUCUUACUGAAGAUAUUGCAAGUGUUUGUUCUGAACAUGUACUCUUACUGAAGAUAUUGCAAGUGUUUGUUCUGAACAUGUACUCUUACUGAAGAUAUUGCAAGUGUUCUGAACAUGUACUCUUACUUUGCUUGGAGUAAUUAACUGGACAUCUUGGAGUACUCCAAUCAUGAAUUAUUUGCAGAAAUUCAGUGAAGUACUGUACUCGAGUGUGCAUUAAUUACAUAAACUUGCUUGCUGUUAACUGUUGUAGCAUUAGGAGUAGUUUUACUGCAGUACUGCUUGAACUACUGCAAGCAUUAGGAGUACUGUAAAUGGAGUGCUUGCAUUAGGAGUAGCAAGUGCAGCAGUAGCCCUAAAUCCAGUAGCUGCAAUAAUGAAACCUUUUCAAACAAAAAUGAUCAUACAAAUGGAGUAAAAAUAACUUUUCAGUUAAUUUAAAUUAACUGAAGCUUUUCCAGUUAAUUAAAAUGAACUGAAACCUUUUCUGUUAAUUAGGGAGGACAACAGUAGUAUAGCACUGCAGCAGGAGUACUUUGUUUUAGAGUAUUAACUGAAACUUCUUCAGUUAAUUAGGAGUAGUAAGCAAGCUGAUUUACAGUACCAAUUCCUUAGAUUUAAAUUAACUGGAGUAGUGUAGCACUUGCUCUCUCUUCUUCUCUUGUAGUAGAGGAAGAGGAGCAGCAGACAUGAUGAGAUGCAGAGAUAGUUCAUCAUGCCCAUCACUUUGUUCAAGUGCCAUGUAUGUUCUUCAGAGAACAUGGCUAAUAUUAUGGGCUGCCACAUUGGUCAUCUAACUUUGAUCGAUCAGCAUUUUGCAGUUAGGUCAGUGAUAAUCCGCUUGUUGUGAUUAUGCAGCUGCAGCCUGUCUUCCUUGAACAUGGGUGAAGCAUAUUUUUUGGAUAUACUCCCAAAAAUAUCAUUGGUGUAUUACUCAAAAGGAGAUGGUUCAUAAGGUGGUUAUGACAAUGAAGACAAGGUUGCCAGGGCUUAUGAUCUGUCUGCUCUGAAAUAUUGGGGGGCCAUCGACGCACACCAAUUUCCCGAUUAGUGGAAAAUUAUUGAGAGGUGGAGGAGAUGUAAAGCAUGACAAGGCAGGAAUUCGUUGCACACUUGAGAAGGUAAAAAAAAGCAGGAGCCAUUUUUCAGUCUAUGAUUUUUCAGUUUAGGUAAAAAAAAUAGUCUGUUUUCAGUAGCUGUCUCUGAUGAUCCUUUAAUGAGAAAAAGAACAUGUGUACUCCAGAUGACAGCAUUUUCAGUCUAAGUACUCCAGGCAGAGGUUCUUUCAGAAUUUUAUUUAAAGUAAAUCGGCGUGUCAACAGGAUGGCAGAGGUUCUUUCAAAAUUUACAGAAUCGAUUUGUGCUUCAAGAUGACAGCAGGUUCUUUCAGAAUUUUCUUUAUUUUAAACAGCUCUCAAAAUAGUAUUGCUCCAUCAGUAGAAUCAGAAUUUUCUUUAUCUUAAAAUCAGAUUAUGAUUCAAAAAAAUUCUUUAUCCUAAACAACAGAGAGAGGAGAUGACCAUCAUAUUGUUUGUGCUUGCAGUGUUUCAGUCUAUGAUCAUCAAAUUGUUUGUGCUUGCAGUUAUCUCCUGGAGUUAGUUUCAGCAGAGAGAGGAGAUGAACCUGGGCAGCAGCCGAGCCUCAACCUGGGUGCGGACGAGGAAGAGCCCAGCACCAGGUUGCCUCCACCUGGGCGCGCGCGGGCCAGGAGGAGCCCCUGGGCGUGGAGGAGGAGCGCCUGGGCGUGUGAGGACGCAGAUGGAGGUGGACUGGAGCGCCUGGCCGGAGGCGGGGGCGGGGCGGAGGCGGAGGUGGAGGGUGGGGCGGAGGUAGAAGACUAGGACCAGGGGUAUUAACUGUUAGAGUUAUAAUAUAGGUCAUGUACCCCUUUGUAUUUAUCCCGUUGUAUAAGGGGUUUCCUGCAUAUGUUCCACACCUGUACAUGUAUAUAUAUCGGCCUAUGGCCUCAUGG